GUCAGCUGCCAUACCACCUGCAGUUUGAACUAGAUAAUCCAUCUGAAGCUAAGCAGGUUUGCACCUGGCUGGUAUUUAGAUGGGAGGCUAACUAGGAAAGCUUCGGCUGUGGUGGAAG
rnacentral:rRNA from 1 species